AUCACUUCUCGGCCUUUUGGCUAUGAUCAAGUGUAGUAUCUGUUCUUAUCAGUUUAAUAUUUUUCAUAUUUUAAAACAGAGUAAUUAAAGAGAGUUUACAGUAAGACAAUAGUUUGCCUCUGGGUAAUGAGUGGGUAAAUUCCUUCCAGCUCUCCCUUGUGCUCCCAGGGUCUGUGCAACCUGGCUCAGACCAGGCCUU
ensembl:snRNA U2 U2 spliceosomal RNA